AUUGAACGCUGGCGGCAGGCCUAACACAUGCAAGUCGAACGAGUGGCGGACGGGUGAGUAAUGUCUGGGAAACUGCCUGAUGGAGGGGGAUAACUACUGGAAACGGUAGCUAAUACCGCAUACCCUCAGAUGUGCCCAGAUGGGAUUAGUUAGUUGGUGGGGUAACGGCUCACCAAGGCGACGAUCCCUAGCUGGUCUGAGAGGAUGACCACCCACACUGGAACGGAGACACGGUCCAGACUCCUACGGGAGGCAGCAGUGGGGAAUAUGGCACAGUGGGCGCAAGCCGGAUGCAGCCAUGCCGGGUGUAUGAAGAAGGCCUUCGGGUUGUAAAGUACUUUCAGCGUGUAGGCGUUACCCGCAGAAGAAGCACCGGCUAACUCCGUGCCAGCCGCCGCGGUAAUUC
rnacentral:rRNA from 1 species